rnacentral:rRNA from 1 species
AGUCGAACGAUGAAGGAGGAGCUUGCUCCUCUGGAUUAGUGGCGAACGGGUGAGUAACACGUGAGCAAUCUGCCCCUGACUCUGGGAUAAGCGUUGGAAACGACGUCUAAUACCGGAUACGAGCUGAGAAGGCAUCUUCAGCAGCUGGAAAGAACUUCGGUCAGGGAUGAGCUCGCGGCCUAUCAGGUAGUUGGUGAGGUAAUGGCUCACCAAGCCUACGACGGGUAGCCGGCCUGAGAGGGUGACCGGCCACACUGGGACUGAGACACGGCCCAGACUCCUACGGGAGGCAGCAGUGGGGAAUAUUGCACAAUGGGCGAAAGCCUGAUGCAGCAACGCCGCGUGAGGGACGAAGGCCUUCGGGUCGUAAACCUCUUUUAGCAGGGAAGAAGCGAAAGUGACGGUACCUGCAGAAAAAGCACCGGCUAACUACGUGCCAGCAGCCGCGGUAAUACGUAGGGUGCGAGCGUUAUCCGGAAUUAUUGGGCGUAAAGAGCUCGUAGGCGGUCUGUCGCGUCUGCUGUGAAAUCCCGAGGCUCAACCUCGGGCUUGCAGUGGGUACGGGCAGACUAGAGUGCGGUAGGGGAGAUUGGAAUUCCUGGUGUAGCGGUGGAAUGCGCAGAUAUCAGGAGGAACACCGAUGGCGAAGGCAGAUCUCUGGGCCGUUACUGACGCUGAGGAGCGAAAGCGUGGGGAGCAAACAGGCUUAGAUACCCUGGUAGUCCACGCCGUAAACGUUGGGAACUAGAUGUGGGGACCAUUCCACGGUCUCCGUGUCGUAGCUAACGCAUUAAGUUCCCCGCCUGGGGAGUACGGCCGCAAGGCUAAAACUCAAAGGAAUUGACGGGGGCCCGCACAAGCGGCGGAGCAUGCGGAUUAAUUCGAUGCAACGCGAAGAACCUUACCAAGGCUUGACAUAUACGAGAACGCACUGGAGACAGUGAACUCUUUGGACACUCGUAAACAGGUGGUGCAUGGUUGUCGUCAGCUCGUGUCGUGAGAUGUUGGGUUAAGUCCCGCAACGAGCGCAACCCUCGUCCUAUGUUGCCAGCACGUCAUGGUGGGAACUCAUGGGAUACUGCCGGGGUCA